rnacentral:lncRNA from 1 species
GUAUCGAUUGUCGUAUACUUGUUUGUUUAGUACACAUUGCGAGUCGUGUCACAGGAACCGUACCCAUAACCUACAACAUAUUUAUGUUAUUAACGUUAUUAGUUGUUAUGAUCGGGUCACAUAAAUGUACCGCCAUAUUUGAAAAUUAGUAUCAUAACUACGUCAUAGGAAGCGUACCCCCAGCUAUUUUAUAAUUUAUUUGAUUAAUGCAUCUAAAGGAAGCUACGAGAGUUCAAAAUAUUUUUCUACAUUAGUUAAGAUAUUGAUGUGAGGGUCAUGGACUAUGUGAUUGGAUAUGGCACACCUCGAUUUAUUUAUAAAAAAAUCUAUACUCAACUAAAGCGAACAAUGGUGUUCAUGCUUGGCCUAAAUCGAAAUUUAGACCAAAACUACUAAGUGCGAAUAUGCAUUGGAAAGAUAGGUUAGACUUCAAUUAUUUUGAAAAAGAAAACUAAAGGCCAGCAGUAGGCCCAAAACUAUCGGAACCUUAAUGACUAAAUCUAAAAAGUUAAUUAGGCUUUGAACUUGAGCUCAGAAAUGAAAGCAAAUGGGGAAUAGAAACACCCCAGCCUGGUUUGGGCCAUGCAGCCCCAAUUCGGCCAAUACUAGGCCUGCUUCUAAAGAAGGCCCUGCAUUGAAGCCUACUGAAGCUUGAAUCAAUCUAAUUCACGUACAACACAGAAUAUCAUAUGAAUUCUGGAAAAACCAAAUGGUGACAAUCAUAUUAUAGGUGUUAAUUUAUUAACAUACCAUUAAUGAUUACAAUGUCCACUUAAACUACCUUAAACUACUGGCUAGUCACAUUAUAACAAGCAUGUAAUCAUUUUAGCCAUAACUGAGAUUUUAAAAUACCAAUAUAUAUAUAUAUAUCACUGCAACUAAAUCCAAAAUCGCAUCGAAAUCGGUACGAAUAUUAAAACCUCUAUUUACAGGAGGCACCAUUGCCAAUAUAUUAUCUAACACAUUUUGAAAUGAAUGAAUAGAAUAGGCUGCUGAAAAUAUCAAUUAUCUUGAAAUUCAAUCAACAUAUGAAAAGGUUGGACCAAUUUAAACAUUUAGUACAUAAAAAUUACAACUAAAUUGUGAACUUAACACAACAUAUCCAGAAUAUUUAAACAAGACUGAAAAGAAAUUGAAAAGCUAAACAACUCGAAAGGGAUAGUUGAUAAAGAAAAUCUGAAGUAUAACAUUUGAACAUCAAUUUCAUAUUACAUGCAUCCUAAACACACGCUUAGAACUUCAUCUUUGUCACUCAAAGGUUCCAUUAGUACUUAGAUACAACAAAACAAAGUGAGAAAUCUCUAAGAAUAACGGAAAAUAGCAAGAACUUCAGUAAAAUUCAACAGCACACAAUAGCAAAAUUACACAUCUCCAAGCUUAAACUAGGUUUCAGCCUUUGAAAACCAGCCAAAAGUUCCAAGAAAAAUUACUCUAACCCAGGUCAAAAAUUAGAAAAAUGGCUCAGCUAAUGAAAUGGUAGAGCUAUAUUGUUUAUAGGCAUUUUUUGAGUCUGAAAAUCUGUAUCAGCAUGUGUCCCAAAUGAAUGAAGAGAGGUCCUCUUUGUAGGCCUAAAUGCCACGUGCUAGAAAAAUUGGUUUGAAAAAUAUUUCCUAUCAGCCUAAAAAAGGCAUCUUGCAAUAACUUGGAACAGCUGGAUGUCUCUUAUUGGUCCAGCAUUUUGUGCUAACCAAAUAAGGAUAGUUGCCUCUUAUUCUGAAAGCUUGAAAAUAAACCUAAACCUCUAAAAUGAUCCAAAUUUAUAAUAAAUUCUAGAUAAAUAUGAAAUUAAAUCAAACUAAAGAUUUAUUUGAUUAAAAGAUGCAGGCAUACUAAAUUAUGAUUCAAAAAACUAAUUAAACAUAAGCUAAAUCAAAUUAACAAACCUAAAUGACACCUGAUCGAACAACUAGAAAGUGACUCUGAAACAAAAUGAACAAAUAAAUGAACCCUAGAACACUGACUCUGACCUGAAGACACAAGGAAAACAACGGUGGAAAUACCUUCCAAGCGAACAAAACCAUCGAGACAACUUGGAGUUCUACUCCAUGCUAAUUGACUACUUAAGGAUCUUUUCCCCCAAAAAAUCCAAUUUUACAUGGGGUCUCUAUCUGGAUUUUUCUGGAGAAAAGGACUUGUGAGAGUCGGCUAACAGGAUGGCCAAAGCUCCACACAAACGCAACUCUUAAACUUCAGUCUUAGGAAAAAUCAAAGAACCAAGAGACUUUAAGAACUCUGGUCAUUUUUGGAUCUGGAAAUCAAGGAUUAUGGGGUGUUUUUGGAAGAAAUUAAAAUGUGAUGACAUGAGGAGCAAGAGAAGAUUAUGGGAUGUGAUUUUGGGUGAUUUUUGAAGAGUUUUUGUGGUGGCCGCCGACUAAGAUGGUGGGAGCAUCUUGGGGCGGCUAGGUUAAGGUUAGAAGAGAGAAGAGAGGGGAAGACGGAAGUGAGGAAUUGAUUUAGGGGUUAGGGGGAGGGGNN